CAGUGCUGUGACCCGCCGGGCCGCCUCUCACCCAGUCGGCGACGCCUGCCCCCAACUUCUAGCUUAUGGGUGUAGCCACGCCGGUCCUCUCCUGUGACAAGGUUUUACUCAUCCUUGGAUUUUCUGCACACCUGAAUGCCAAAAUCAGACCAAGAGGAUUUGACCUAGGAGGACUUGAAGAAGGAACGGAACAGCACCCAGGGCAUCUUGCUGAUUAGAAUAUUUUGGAAAAAAAUGAAAACUGAAGAUAAGCUGGAUGCUCACCUCUCCCAACUGCGACCCACAGAAUACUGCACUAGAGAAAGUGAAAAGUUACACAUCCUCCUGUGACGUGGACUGACUGCCAUGAGUUAGUAUGGACUUAGUAAAUGAUGAGAGCUGCUACCUAAGUACUGCCAGGAAGAGAUGGCUAAACAUCAGUAAUUUUAAAACAUCAUGCUUUCUGGACAAAGUUUUCUCAACUGAUGACAGGUUUGUAGCUAAACAACUUAAUAAAGGAAUUCAAAUAUUUUAAUUACUGGGUCUAGCAGUGUGUUCUGUAAAUAACACUAGC